GGCUCUUGGGUUGUAAACCCCUUUUCUCAGGGAAGAAGUUCUGACGGUACCUGAGGAAUCAGCCUCGGCUAACUCCGUGCCAGCAGCCGCGGUAAUACGGAGGAGGCAAGCGUUAUCCGGAAUUAUUGGGCGUAAAGCGUCCGUAGGUGGUGGGGCAAGUCGGCGGUUAAAGACUGGGGCUUAACUCCCGAAAGGCCGUGGAAACUGCACCACUAGAGGGCAGUAGGGGUAGAGGGAAUUCCCGGUGUAGCGGUGAAAUGCGUAAAGAUCGGGAAGAACACCAGUGGCGAAAGCGCUCUACUGGACUGCAACUGACACUCAGGGACGAAAGCUAGGGGAACGAAUGGGAUUAAAUACCCCAGUAAUCCUAACCGUAAACGAUGGAUACUAAGUGUUGUCUGUAUCGACCCAGACAGUGCCCCAGCUAACGCGAUAAGUAUCCCGCCUGGGGAGUACGCACGCAAGUGUGAAACUCAAAGGAAUUGACGGGGGCCCGCACAAGCGGUGGAAUAUGUGGUUUAAUUCCAUGCAACGCGAAAAACCUUACCAGGGCUUGACAUGUCCCGAACCUCGCUGAAAGGUGAGGGUGCCUUCGGGAGCGCGAACACAGGUGGUGCAUGGCUGUCGUCAGCUCGUGUCGUGAGAUGUUGGGUUAAGUCCCGCAACGAGCGCAACCCUCGUUCUUAGUUGCCAUCAUUCAGUUGGGCACUCUAGGGAGACUGCCGGUGAUAAACCGGAGGAAGGUGGGGAUGACGUCAAGUCAUCAUGCCCCUUACGUCCUGGGCUACACACGUACUACAAUGGGUGGGACAAAGGGCAGCGAACUCGCAAGAGCCAGCUAAUCCCAUAAACCCAUCCUCAGUUCAGAUUGCUCUCUGCAACUCGAGAGCAUGAAUGAGAAUCGCUAGUAAUCGCAGUCAGCAUACUGCGUGAAUACGUUUCCCGGGUCUGGUACACACGCCCGGUCACACAUGUAGUGUCAUGGCCGGAGGUCAUACUCUAGCCAUCGGAGAGAUGCGAGGCAGACU
rnacentral:rRNA from 1 species